CACAGAUUCAGUCUUGUUAUAUUCUGUUACAUUCUUGUCAGACUUCGUUUCCGAUUUUAAUGUUCUGUGCAUUUAAUAAGCAUUAAAUAUAGAAACUACAAAAUAUAGUGGAGUAACAUUAAAUAUAGUGGAGGUAAUCUUAAACUUAUGAACAAUUACAAGGUAAUAUCAAGUCAUACUAGUUUUGCGUAAGCAAUUCUUCAUUUACUACACCCUAACAGUGGUUCAACCUAGAACCCUCUCAGAAACAGAAAAUCUCUGUUGUAAGGUUCUACAUGAAACCUUUAUUAAUCAAAGAAUCCUUUAUAUGUAUAUAAAGUAUAUGUUAGGAUGAUUGCAGAAUGAUUGAUGUCAAAAUACUCGUAAGGUUUGAAAGGAAAAGUUCUUUACUGUAAUGAAAAUGAUGCUGAUUCAAAAGAAUUGAUGAAAUUUUAAAAAGUAUUUAGAAGAAAGAUUAGUGUUUAUUUUAUGUUUGUUGUGCAGUUAUAGUUAGAUUACGUUGCUAUUUCGUUGCCAUUAUGUCAGGCUGCUGUAUAAUUAGAGUUAUAUUAGGCCGCUGUUUAUUCGGCAGUACGUUAAGUUAAUGUUUAUUACCAUUAUAUUAAGCUGCUGUAUAGUCACAGUUACAGUCCCCCUCCAAAAAUAUUGGAACGGCGAAGCCAAUUCAUUUUUUUUUGCUGUAGAGUGAAGACAUUUGGUUUUGAGAUUAAAAGAGGAAUAUGAGAAGAGAGUUUAGAAUUUCAGCUUUUAUUUCCUGGUAUUUAUAUAUAGAUACAGAACAUAGCGCAUUUUGUAUCAGACCACCCAAUUUGUAAGGGAGCAAAAAUAUGGGAACACAUGACUGACGGGUGUUUCUUGUUCCCCAGGCGUGUCCUGUUAGAUCGACUGUUUAAACAAUAAAUAGCUCUGAACAUCUACUCUUCAGUUUCACCUCCAUUUUGAAGCUGGGAAAGAGGGAAAAUCAAUCAAAGCCUUUGCAGAAACACUGGGUAAAGCCAAUACAACAAUUUGGAAUGUCAUGAAAAUGAAAGAAACCGCUGGUGUACUGAGGAACAGACACCGAACGGGUCAGUCAAGGAAAACAACAGCAGGUGAUGACAGAGAGCUGUGAAGAAAAACCCAACAACAACAGUCAGUGACAUCACCAACAAGCUCCACAGGGCAGAAUUGAAGGCAUCACAAGCCACCGUUUGAAGAAGUCUUCGAGAGCAGAAAUAUCGAGGCCGUACCACAAGAUGCAAACCAGUCAUCAGCAGUACGAGUCAGAAAGUCAAAUUGGAAUUGGCAAAGAAAUACAGAGAUGAUCCACAAAAGUUCUGGAACAAGAUGAACCUCUACCAAAGUGAUGGAAAGUCCAAAGUGUGGAGAAAGAAAGGAUCUGCUCAUGAUCCAGAACAUACAAGCUGAUCUGUGAAACAUGGUGGAGGUAGUGUCAUGGCUUGGACUUGCAUGGCUGCUUCUGGAACAUUCUCACUGAUCUUUAUUGAUGAACUCAUGAUGGAGCAGCAGAAUGAAUUCAGAACUGUACAGGACCAUUCUGUCUGCAGAUUUCAGAGAAAUCCAUCCGAAUGAAUCAGAGGAACUUCAUCAUGCAGCAAGACAACGAUCCAAAACACACUUCCACCCUAACACAGGACUUCAUCAGGGGGAAAGUGGAAGGUUUUAGACUGGACAAGUCCAUCACCAGACCUUCACCCAACUGAUCAUCUCACCUCCUGAAGAGGAGACUGAAGGGAGAAACCCCCGAAACACACAACUACUGAAAGAAACUGCAGGAGAAACCUGGAGAAGCAACACAAGUGUCAGUGAGUCACAGGACUGAUGCAGUUUGAUGAGUUUUUUCAAGCAAGGGACACGCAGCCGAAUGUUAAGUGUUAUUUACUUUCAUUUACUUCAAGACUUAUCUGUUCCUAUACUUUUGCUCACCUAAAAAGUGGGUGGUCUGAUACAAAAGGUUGUAUGUUUUAUGUUUAACACGUCUAGAUGUAAACACCAGGAAAUAAAAGCUGAAAUCCUAAACUCUCGUUUCAUCUCCAUCUUUUCAUCUCGAACCCAACAGUCUUGGGUGUUCACCAAACUAAUGAAUUAGCCUCGGCCUCUCUGAAGGGAUCGUUUCUUACGCUGCUGUGUAGCUACAGUUAUCUUAGACUGCUGUGUAGUUACAGUUAUGUUACGCUGAUGUGUAGUUACAGUUAUGUUAGACUGAUGUGUAGUUACAGUUAUAGGAGGUAUCACCGUAGUUUGAGUGUCACCAUGUCCGUCACUUUUCGGAAUGAGAAAGGGAAUAACUAGCCCAAUAACAACAACAACAACAACAACAAAAGCAGAGACACCCAAACAGAUACAGCAUCUUUGGGAUGGCCGUGGAUGAACUGGUAUAAGCUGUUGGAAAAAAAAAGAAAACACAAUGAAACACAAAAUCCACUGCAAACCUGUUCUCUAUUCCAGAGC
ensembl:lncRNA